GUCGGUACGUUUGCCUGUGUGUGUAUCGGAACUAUGCUUUGAAUUGUUUGGCCUAGUUUUAGGCACUGCAUUUUCGAAAUGCAACAACACCGUACACGAGUGCUCGGAGUCAUUUUCAGGCUUACACAUAAUCGGUUAAUCCUGCCAAGGUAUUAAAAGUGAGAGUGUAAUGGUGCAUUUAAAGCCGGGCGAGUUGGCAAAGGCGGUGCAAUCUGCUAGGUGCUCGUUUGGAGAGUGGUGCAGCGGCUGGUAAUUUGAGUGUGGCACGAGUAUUUUCGGAAUAUUCAUGUCAAUAACUGCUGUAGUGUUUAUAAAUACAUUUUACUUACUCAGCAGGCAUAAUUCGUAUACAAUAAAAAUAGGUUGCACGCUGAAAUCUGCUACAAGUGCGCACAUGUAAAUACUGCACACGAAUUGUCUGCUUGAACUACUAAUGAAGUGACAACUUUUUCCCAUAUUUUUGGCAAAGCUCGAAUAUCAUUACGGUAAAACUGUUUAUCUUGUGAUGCUUUACAAGAAUCAAGCCAUUUUUCGAUAUCGUCUUGUGAGUGGAACUGCUUCUAAUUCAGAUCGUGUGACAUCGAAUGGAACAAAUAAAAAUCGGACGGUGCAAUAUUUGAAGAAUAUUGCGGGUGGGUAGGACUUCCCAUUUAAGUGUUUCCAGCGCAUGAAGUCGCUUUUAAAUGGCUUGGCGGGUGACUCUCACUGCAGAAGCAAUCUCUUCUUGCAUUUGACACGGAUCCUCCUCGCGCAAUGUCUCCAAGUCACCGUCUUCGAAAAUAUUUAGCCCUACUUCACGCUGACAGACGUUAAUAUUGAAAUCACCGUCUUUGAAAUCACCGUCGACGAAACCAAACACUGCUCGUUGUAUCACUUGGAGCAGCACCUCCGUAAAGCCGAUGCUCGCAAUGUGCUUCAGCUGCCGAUUUCUUUGACUGAUAGAAAAAAUCAACACUUCCCACAAAUGUCGAUUAUUUGGCAAAAAAAUCGGACCUAUUCGCACAACCAAAAGUAUAUGACAUAGAAAACGUCACUAAUUUAGAAACGCAGUUUCUUUUUCAAAUGUCUGGGUUAAAUUUAUCAUGUUUUAGAUAUAUCAUAAUCGAUCACCACUAACUGUUGGAGCCAUCUAUUGACAAACAGCGGGAACUUAGUCGCUCACCUAAUAUUUGCAUUGUUUCAGAAUCAUCAGUACUCUUGAAGAUUAUAAUUAAAGGUAUUUAGGGAAAUUUUAGGAAGACAUUAUUAUAAUCUUUAGUUCUAUAUAAAUAUUACAUGUUUAUAAUAUAUAUAUUGUACAUACAGAAUCAGAUUGCUUCCAAGAUCAUAAAACCUCGGCGAAUCAGGGUUGCUUAUAUUUCUUAAGAUCAUGGCACCUUGUUAUUGCGCUUCUGGCUCAUCUCAAUUGCUAGCUACAUUGAAGAAGGGCUUCUGACUUAUAUGCAAGAAAGUUCUCCAAAAUCGCAUAUUUUCAUCAUUAUUUUUUCGGAUGAGUUUGUUUGAGAGAGAGAGAGAUAAUGACACCGCAUCAGGCCUUUAAAGGGUUAGGAGAAUUUUCAAAAUUUUUCUAUAAGUGUAAUAUCUAGGAAUUAUUCUCUGAAAAUUUUAAGUAAACCCGACCAACACUUGUCAAGUUAUUCGAUAAUUAGCAAAGAGUUCUCGGGCGCUCCGGAGCAGGUAGCUAGCAGCAGCUGUAAGCAGCCGGUGGUAGUUGGAAAUUUGGCAAAUUUCAAUGAAGUUUAUUCAGCUUUUUGAAAACAGGAAAAACUAUUACCUGAUAGAAGGAUCAUUUUUUUGAAAUAAUUUCGGUUUUUUAUUUUUUGAUUUUCUGAAAUUUUAUUAAUUUAUAAUAAAACAAAAAAAUUGAUCAGGCACUAGGUCAUCUAUUACUAAAACUAAUUGUUUUGUCGGAUUCCGGAAUUUUCAUGUGAACGAGCUGUCGAAAGUCAGAUACUUUGCUUUCCUCUUUUUCAAACUGAGUAAAUGGGUUGACAUAAAAAUCUUAAAAACUAUAUACUACGGACUUUUCGAAAGUGUAAUCAAUUAUGGAAUAAUUGCCUGGGGCGGAGCCUACAAAAAUGCUCUGCAGCCAUAACAAAUAUACAAAACCGUUUAUUAAAGUUCUUUGAAAACAAAUAUGAAACUAAUUUGCCACUUGACAUCAAGAAAACUUUUAUUGUUAAGGCUCUAAUACAAUACUAUGAAAAGUGUAAUUCCAAAUAUCUUACUAAACAAGUACAAACUAGAGCUAAUACUCUAACAUUACCAAAAAUUAAAAAGUCAAUUAGCAUUAAAUAUGCAUAUUUUAUAGCAAUUAAGUACUUUAACAU